rnacentral:lncRNA from 1 species
GCCCCAUCGACCUCACUCCUAGAGUGCAAGGGAUCGGCGCGGGCCUUAUCUCCCAACAGCCCGAGCUCGGGCCACUGCACGCCAUAGUCCCAGAGCGCUGCGCGAGUGGCCGGCUGUGGCGGCUCGGGGUGCGCCCCUGCUGACAGCGUCUUUCAGCGGGAACGCCCUGGAGAGGACGAGUGGUGACCGAACAGCUACUACGGUGGGACCAAUCCGAUGUCGCCUUGGUUCCCACGCUGUCUUCCUGGGGAGCGUUAGGUCGCCCUGGCAGCGUGUGGCUCCGCGUCUGGGGCUGAGCUGAGUGCGGUUACCCAAGGCCAGGUCCUGGUUUCCGGGAGCCACUCAUUAGAAGCCUAUCCCACCUCUGCCUGUUGACAAUAUAAAUUGUCCAAGUCCAGCUCUUUCUGGGUGGAGCAUACCAUGCCUUCUUGAGGUUCUGCUUCCCAGAUGGCUACUCUACAAAUGCAAGAGUCCUCUCGGCUCUUCAGUGGAUGUGUGCUCGUGACAUGGAAUGCGGUGGAGGUGGGUGUGGGGCUAAGUCAAGGGAAAAGAUGUGUUCAGCGCUGGGUGGACACAGCAAGGUGAGGAUGGUGUGCAUAGUAAUUAAUAGGAGCUGGGUGGGAACCACAGGUGUGCAAAGGCCCUGUAGCAGCUGCUGGCUUGCCCUUGGUGCGCUUGUGUCCCUCCCUGAGGGGAGGAGAGUGGCUGGGUUAAGAGAGGGGCAGGACUGAAGAGAGAAGGACGAGUUUUCUAUGAAAGUAGUAUGGAAGAGUUGUAGCCUAGAGGGGCCAGAUGUGAGAAGCUAUAGUGAGUAAGUCUCGUAAGUUAGUCCCGUAACUUUACUAUCAUUGGUUGACUAAAAGUUAGUUUAGAGCUCUCUUGGGCUAGGAGAGGGGCAGCUGCCAGGGUGCGUAAACAUGUGGGCCAGACCCGGACAGUGUGGUUGAGUUGUUUAGUUCGGUAAGCAACCGGAACAAAAUGUGACCCAGUGUUUUGUCCCAGGACCCCCAACACCAGUCCUGCUCAUUCAGUGACAUAGAGAAUGAAAGGUUUUUG